AACCAUUCUCACCUGCGGCUAGACCUGCGGAGGGAUCAUUAUUGAAAACAUAUGGUAACAACCAGGGGGAGGAGGGAGGAGAGGCGGCUUUGCUGCCCUCUUUUCUUCUUUUCCUGGACAAACAACCAACACACAUGACUAGGCAAAAGAGAGACAGACUGCGUGGAGGAGUUGGCUUGGCUUUGGCUUGGAUCCUCGCACACGGGCACAGCACAAGAAGUUCUUGUCUGAUAAGUAGCU
rnacentral:misc_RNA from 1 species